AUUUAAGGGCUGUCUGCCACAAGGAAAGGAUACAUACCUGGAGAUCUUUUCUUUUGGAGUGUUUAGUAAGUGCUGAUCCUUGGGAUGGGUAAGUAAAUCUUUCUUUCUUUCUUUCUUUAACUGGAUUGUGACUAUCACCCUUUUUUGAGUAAUUUAGAACUGGCUGUCUGCCAUUGCCUUUCCCUCUAGCCACUCACUAGCUUCGGCUGCCUGGGGCCCCAUCCAACCCAACUUUGAGCACCGCUAGGGAUGGGGCACCACAGCUCUCUGGGCAGCCUGUGCCAGUGCCUCACCACCCUCUGAUUAAAAAGUUUCUUCCCCACAUCUAACCUGAAUCUCUUGUUUUUUAGUUCAAAGCCAUUCCCCCUUGUCUUAUCGCUAUGAGAUUUAAAAAAACAAACAGACAAAAAAACUAGUUUUCCUCCUGUUCGUAAGCUCCCCUCAAGUACUAGGAGGCCACAAUGAGAUCUCUAUUGAGCUUUCUCUUUUCCAUGCUGAAGAAGCUCACCUCCCUUCUCCUCUGUUUAUAGGAAUGGUGCUCCAGCCCUCUGAUCAUCUUUCUGGUCCUUCUCUGAGCCUGAUCAAACAGCCCCUCAUCCCUCCUGUGCUGAGAGCCCCAGGUCUGGACAUAGUACUCCAGAUAGGGCAUUACAAUAGGUAUUCAAGUCUAGGCUACCAAAUCGCACAGGGUGUUUGCAGGCAACCAGCAUUGCCCUCUACUGGCCAUCUCACAAUACCUUGAUGGCCAGUGACGAAAAAGCUGCCCAAGAGGAUCAGGAUAGAGCCUUGCAUCAGUUCCUCUGGCUCACAGGGGGGAGUGUGGUGACCUCCAGAGAAAACUGAGAGGUGACCAAGGAACACAAAUCUGAAUCAGCAUAGCCCUGGCCUGGAGAAACAGAUCUCACUGAGAGAAGUAGACCGUGUUGGCACAGUAACCAUAGCUUUCCAUGAAGCUGCAUAUCUUGGAGCUCAGAUACGGAACAACUCCAGAGGAGGCUCUCACCACUGUGCCAGUGCCCACGUGCCUGCCAUUCAUCUCCCAUCAUCAAUCUUCCCCAUCUCCAUACAGCAAAAAGGCCCAAACCCUUUGGAGCCUCAAAGUCAGAGAAGAUGCAGUUAGUCUUUAUUUCAUUCUGACAGGCUCCUUUAUCCCAGAGACAAUACAGAGACAUGGGAUCUUAGCUGGAAUUCUUCCCAGAGUUCAAUCCAAUAAGAGCAAGGGGAAAAAAUGUCACGUGUUGCUGAGAAAAAAAAGAUUGAGCCCAUCAGGCACUGGAAACCCUGAAGGAGACAAGCAAGGAGAUGAGCAAGCAUUAAAUCACCAAGAAAAAUGGCCACGCCAUGGUGGGAACAGCUCCCACACCCCCCAGCGCCAACUCAGAGCUCAGAGCCAGAAGGAGAGGAGCAGAAAAUCACACGAGCAGCCAGGAGACGAUCCUUCCAUCGAUUGUGUAAACUGUCAGUGGAGUGGCAAGGAGCAUUUUUUUUGUUUCUAUCCCAGGGAAUAAUCCAGCCCGAUAAUUAGUACAUAAGAGAUAAGUGGAAAAUGAGACAUCUAGCAAGGGUGGUUCGAGGCUCCUCAUGACAUUGAUAAUGUGCAGAUACAUAGAUCACUGUCGGGGCAAACCGCCACCACGAGCCUGUGUCUUCCCAUUGCCUCAUCAAUCCAUCAUCUGCUUAGCUACUGACACCUUGGCAGGCACACACCACCAGCCCCGCAUUAGAAUUGCAAGGAGCGGGCUCCACCGGGGAAUACAGAUUUAAAAAUCUAAGAUUCAAAUUUGUUUAAGUAUUGUGAACAGCAAUUCCCUUGCAAGGCAUCUUCAUUGCCCUUUUGCCAAGGGGGAACAGUUGGGUCUUUGUUAGAAGUACAAAUUGCUUCUUAAUGCAAAGGAUAAAGCGGAGCCCAGGCACCUCCUUAGAAUUCCUCCUGGCUCCUGCUAAUGCUGCUGCAUGUCAAUUUUAAUUUUUUGAAAUUUAAACCGAGGGCUUUGUGUCUAAGCUCCAUUUCGUUGAGAGAGGGGGGGAGGAAUAGUCAAAAAGGAUUACAGAUCCGGAGGGAAUUGGGGAUCCAUAGCAAUUAUACUUCAUUUGGGUCUGAGACACUGCUUUUAAUCAUAUUCUAAAUGGUACAAAUCGACAAGGCGUUGGAGAUUGAUAAUUGUUGAACGCAUGUACCUGGUUAUGAACUCUGCUCCCCUUGGCCAGGCGAGGCUGGAGGAUGGGAUGAAGGCGGGAACUGCCUUCUCCCUCCUGGAACAGGGCACACUGUGGCCCUCUGCAUGGCCAAUGAGGGGACACAUCCCACCAAGGGCUGAUGGGGACAGUGAGAGCACAGCCAUCACUGGGCUGCCUAGUGUGGGGCUGGAGUGAGCCCAUCCCAGAUGUGAGUCUGCACAGGGAUGCUGCAGUUGGUGAAAGUGAGAGCAGACAGAGAACCAGCUUCUGUAACUCAAUUAACUCCCUCGCAGUCAAGAAAUCCCAUUUUACCCAAACAGAGCAGUUCAC
rnacentral:lncRNA from 1 species